GCCAGCCUCAGGAAGUCACCUUCCUGCAAAGAAAAAGGUAUUUAAGCAGAGGGGAGGGGGGAAGGUGCUUAACAUUAUGGAAGCUGCAAUUUGUGUGUGUGCCAGUGUGUAUGUUUAUGUAUGUGGACAUCUGUGUGUGUCAGUGUGCAUGUUUAUGUAUGUGUACAUCUGUGUGUGCAAGUGUGUAUGUUUUAGAUAUGUGGACAUCUGUGUGUGCAAGUGUGUAUGUUUUAGAUAUGUGUACAUCUGUGUGUGUCAGUGUGUAUGUUUAUGUAUGUGGACAUCUGUGUGUGUCAGUGUGUAUGUUUAUGUAUGUGGACUUAUGUGUGUGUCAGUGUGUAUGUUUAGGUAUGUGUGCAUCUGUGUGCCAGUGCGUAUGUUUAGGUAUGUGGACAUCUGUGUGUGUCAGUGUGUAUGUGUGCAUCUGUGUGCCAGUGCGUAUGUUUAGGUAUGUGGACAUCUGUGUGUGUCAGUGUGUAUGUGUGCAGCUGUGUGCCAGUGCGUAUGUUUAGGUAUGUGGACAUCUGUGUGUGUCAGUGUGUAUGUUUAGGUAUGUGGACAUCUGUGUGUAUCGGAGUGUCAGUGUGUGAAUCUGUGAGUAUGUAUCUGUGUGUGUGUACCACAGACGUCGUCGUCCACUGCACUCAGGUUCCGCUUUUCACUCUGGUCCACAGCCUCAAAGGUGCUCUGGAAUAGAUAGACACUGCUAAUCCGUCCAACAAUACAAGGUAAUAGAAUAUACAGGCAACACACCAGGUACCGAAGGUGU